CUUCUACAUAUUUUUCUCCUUUUUAUCCAGCUAACCGUAAUUAACUGAAUAAAUUUCGUUACGACACCGACACGAAUUACUCUACGCUUAAUUCGGUUACGAGUCCUCCAAACUCUCAGAAGGCGAAAAAAUCGCUAAGAACGUUGGUGCUUCCAUCUUUUGAGGAGAUAACGUAACAAAAUGUACAAGUCGCUAACGAUGUUGAUAGUAGGCAAUGGCGGUUGUGGUCGAUAAUGCGAAUACUAAACAUCUGUUGGUAAUGUAAAACCUUCGGUAUAUGAAAUAAAAGGACACGUUUACGCAAUAAAAGACGAAUGUCUCAAUUAUGGAUCAACGAGCCAAAUCCAGUCAGUUCAACUGGUCCUUGCAGCAGCGUAUGUUGCGCGUAACGGAAUCUGUGUGGCGAGAACAGCGAUUCGUUUACUUAAAAUUUAAAGUGAUCACGGGAUACAGCGACGUGGCGUGUGCAUCGGCACGUAUACCGAAAUGUGUGCUGGUCUAUGUAACAGUGAGAAGAGAGAAGAGAGAGUGUACGAUCACACGAAUCGAACGGCAGAUUAGACGACUUACCGGGUACCGAGUUGAUAUCGAUCGAGUUUAUCACCAAUUGAUCCACGAUGACGACGCAGUUGGUAGCCUUGAUGGGUGCGCUGCCCGCUGCAACUCAGGCAACGGCGAGCUCCUUGCCAAACAACCAGCAUCACUAGACAAUCAAACGAACGACCCUCAGCUUCUUUAUCUCAACUUUCCAAUCAACUUUGCGCUACACAUAUAAAAUAUGCGUACACGUACGCAAGCGCGAUUAAAUUAUGCAGUGGCAUAUUAAAUCAAAGUAUUUCAUACGCUGAACAAUUAUCAAGCAAUUUGUGGUUCCACUCGAAUUAAUUGGACAAACUCCAACGUAACCUUGUAUUAAAACGUUCCAUUAUUCGAUACUUGUUCGAGAUAUUGGUUUUUACUGUGUGGAAAAAUUUCUUUGGAAAUUUUAUUACGCAACUUUUUAAUUUUUCCUACAAUUUUAUGUUGAUUUGCAAUUCUACUGAUUAGAUAUGCUGCCAUCAGAAUUCAAAAUUAUAGCGCGAAUUUUAAAUUGAAGUUCAAUAUUCACAUUAUUUCACUAUUCAGUUCUUAAUGGGUUAAAUAACGUAUUACACAUCAUAUAUGUAUAUAAUGUACUUUUCCUACUACGUGCAAUCGUCGAACCUUACGUGGUCCCAUACCUGACGAUUUAUAUACACUGUUAGAUGAUACUCUUUCCGUUUUCCGGCACUCGGAAAGUCUAACUACUGUAUUCGCUACAACUCUGAGUUCGUCGUUUAAAACUGGAAAAGUCAGCGACCAGAUCGUGAGACUCAAGCUCAAGGGCCUCUGCUCCAUAAAAUAUCUCCUUCCCGACCAACUGAACUUUCACUUAAGACCUAAAACAGCAACUCCCACUCUGACAAUAGACUUUUCCACCGAGUUACCGUGACCGUUGCCAACCACCAUAAGAUUGUUUCCGAAUCCCUAUCAAUGUUUAAGUCUUUACUCGUGCCCAUCUCCUGACCAAUAAUUGUUUUCUCCUCUGUUGCUCGCGACGAUACAUUCUUAGAAUUUGUAAUCGAUACUCUAAAACAAUCAUCUAAUUAUUUCUUAUCAUAUCUUAAUUUUAUCAUUAGCUAUUCACACAAAUUCUUUCUCGCGCAAUUAUUAUCCAUGUUGCAACAUGGUUUGCCCGAAUCUAUAAGAAACAACAUAUGUACUGUCUGUAAGUCGUCUCAGUUCAUUUAGGUUCAAGUUUGUUUAAUCACAAUCAUAGCUAUUACCGUAAACGAUAUAACGCAAUGGUUUUUUUCAUCCAUCACCGAUAAGAAAUGCGAAGAUACGCGAAAUGUAUGUUAUGUGGCGUUUGUAUGAUGCUGGGAACGCAUUGUUGUUACUAGCAAUACGUUUCCACUAAUAUAUAAUAAGCACUGAAGCAAAAUUUUUAAUAAACUUUACAAACGACAAGUUACAUGACUAUCCCAUCAGUUAAUGCGUAACAGAGAAAUCUAUAACUGAAGCUACAACUCGUAACUUGUCAAUCUAUUAAUAUCGAAAUUAUUAGUCGAUAAAUUAUUGUACGAUAGGUACCUGAUCAGAUCAGGUAAAUGGAGUUCUAUUGUAUACCCGACAGGCUUACGUAUUUAAGUUCUAUUUGUGAGCCGUUCGCGAGCUCCAGUGACAGAUAACGGGAUUAUAAUGCGUUUAAUGCAACGUUGUAUAAACAAGUAAAAUAAUCGGAUUAUACAGUUAAUGAAUAAUUGUUGAAUAGUCAUACCUGCUCAGGAUAGAAUUAAGAAAAUUUAUCAAUUAUCGAUGUACGUAUCACGUAGGUUGUAAGAUUCUUAAAUAAAACGUGGAUGUAAAUGUAAAGGAAGAUGUAAUCGCGAGUGACCUAAAGCCAAAAGCUAUGAAUAAAAUAAAUAUACUAAUAAUAUAUAUAUAUAUAUAUUAUUGCACAUAGGAUGAGAAGUUUACCACGAUAUUCUCAAACGUAUACCAUUAAAGAUGUUGCAAAUUAAUUUACAAAAUUUCCUCUCUUGUAGACGUUCCUCCGCUUUUGCCUUUGCUCGCACCAGUAACUUUUUCCAUUCGUUAUUACUGGUCAAUCUGAAUUUUCUUUCCAUUCUUUAACACUAAUCAGUCUGAGCUUUGGCUGCUUUGUAGCCACGUACUAAUAUUUUAAACAAGCGAUAAAAAUAUUAAUACACUCAUUCGUUGCCGCUUAUACAAGACUACGUAGACUGUAGACUGUUGAUUUUAUUAACACGUUGACUGCCACGGGGGUCACCGGUGACCGGCGACGCAGCAAAUAUUAAAAGUACAUAAUUAUAAAAAAAAAAGGACAAUCGUAACAAUUGUCUACAACGCAGUGGGGGUGACCGGUGGCCCUCGCCACGAAAAAUGCUUCGAGCAUGAUUUUAUAACUCGUUUUAUUUGCUGCAAAUGAUAUUUCAACGUAAUAUGCAUCGCAUAAUGAAAAGUUCACGUCGGCGCCUUGGGCAAACCAUGGAAAAUUCGUCUGCCAGUCAACGUGUUAACAGACUGUAAUUUACUUCUAAAAUUACAAGCGGAAAGAUUCGGGACAACCUUGAUCUCUAUUAGAGUUAUCGUAGAAUAUCAUGGUAUGAUAAGUAUCUCUAACGAAUUAACAAAAAUUAGUAUUAGUAAAUGUCAAAUACUUUGGAGUAGCUUCGUUGAGUAGCAGUUUUUAAAAGAAGCUAUUGUUAUUCCGAGCACAUUUAACAGAUAAGUUGUACAAGUUUCCUUAGAAUCGAUAGCGAGGCUAACAAAUGUACAAUAAGUCUCUCUGUUAAUCGGUUUCAAUCACGAUAGCCUCGCUAUCAAUUUCAAAAUGGCUCGUUCAACUUAUCUGUUAAGUAUUUCAUUUUAAUAUAAUAUUGAUAAGAUUUUUAAAUAAACAACUUAAAUUCCAUAUAACAGAUCUAUAUCCGUAUAUUCUACAGGAACACAGUAAGUAUCGCCUUUGAUAAUCAGUUUGCAUGAAUCGCAACGUUUGUUACAAUGACAAAUUGUCGAAAACGUAACUUUACAACAAAAAUGUAAGAACUAAUAAAUUGCAGGAUAUCGUAAUACAAAAGCAGUUGUUUGCGUCAACGACGAUGACUGUACAAAUGCGGCGAUUAUUAUCCAUAUAGAGAGUUGAUUUGCUAUCCUGAUCGUGUGUCGAGCAAAACGAAAAUUUAACCCAUUAAGAACCAAGGAGUAAAAUGAAUGCAUAAAAUUUACGUAAACCUAUGUUACUGAAAAACUUAAAUAAAUGACUUACAUAUUACCUAGUCCGUUAAGCUACAAAAAUGGUACAUUAAAAUAAUAAACGUGGUCGCAGAGAUUCUAUGUGCAGGAAAGUAAUUGAAAUGAGUUCAAGACAAUCGCGUUUACAGUACGUUCUGUAUAUUCGAACUUUACGUUUUCUCGCAUGUGACAAUAAGAUGAAUAAUAAACCAAUAUAAGAUGAAAAUGAAGAGUAACGAAGUUGCGUUGGAGGCUGCAGUUUUUAGAAAAUCAAGUUUGAAAACUUAUCAAGUAUACGCGCGGGAAAUGAAAAACAAGGGAGGAUGCUAGAAAAUGGCCAUUUUUGGACCUUCUUGGGAACGAAAAAUUCUGGCAGAACAUUUAAGAGCAUCUUUCAAGAAACUGAUCCAUGCGUUACGCUUAAUCUUCACCUUUUCCACAUACCGAACCACCUAGGAAAUGAUUUUUUCGCAAUUCCGCUGAUAAAUCAAUCGGAGCUUGGAAUCGAGCCAGUCCAGAGCGUCACAGGAUCGUUGUUACGUUCAUCAACUCUGCACCCGCAUGCCUGUGCUACAACGUCUUCCAAUCCGGUUUUACCUUUGUCGAUUAAUAGGUAAACAAAGUAUUUUGAAUCGUUCGACCGCCUUAUUCCAAUGCAAUUAUUCGGUUCUAUUUCAAUUUGAUAUUUUUGAUAGUGAAUGGAAUCGAAUGCUAAUUGCAAUCUGGAAUUCAAAGUCCCCGUUUCGAACAUCGAAACUGACAGAUGCAAUGGGGAAAGGUCUUAUCUGUUUACGUCUUCGAGCUAGUAUCUGAGAGUGACUCUGACUGAUUUUUCGCACUUCAUAAUUACUUCAAAGUGUUUACAUUAAUUCUGUUUUUAGACCGAGCGCAAUUCGUUCCUGACAUACAAAACAUAUAUAUGCGGAUACAAAGUCAGCGAGCGUAUUGUUCAUCAUUGUUCUCAUGUAGCAACCAUCUAGUGGUAUUACAGCAGAAUUUCUCAGAUAUUACGAUGUCGAUAUAGACGAAAAAUUAUCUUACAAGUGAACCAGAAUACGAAGAAAAUGAAGAUUAAGUGUAACGCACGAGUAAGUUUGCCAUCUCUUCAUCUUCGCACUCAUUUCUUUUUUUUUUUAACUUUCCCAUCGCAUUUCGGAUAAAUUGUAAUAACAUAUGCUUCGUUCGUCGAAAGAUGCUCUUAAAUGUCCUGUAAGAAUUUAUCGUCCGCAAGGAGAUCUAAAAAUGGCCAUUUUUCAACAUUCUUCUUCUCCGUGCCAAG